ACUCUCUCCAGGCGCGGGGCAGUCUGUCAAAAGGACUGGCCCUGAAAUUCUCACAACCCUAUGCGAUGAUACUCUGUUGCGCCCAUUUUACCGGUCAACCACCUGAGGCUUAGAGAAGGGAAGUCGUGGCCUUUGAGUCUCACGCUGGAGGGACCCCAUCAUUCCUGCAGGGGACCAACAGCUUCACGAGUUCCUGGAUGAUGAUGUUGUCACCUUUUCAGAACCCCUGUGCUAUUCUGUCUUGGACGAGUUUCUUGCCAACCCUUGAAAAUGGGCAUAAGACACCCUCCUCUUCCACAGUUUCAUGUCCCCUCCCCUCAGGCUGGUGGUGUUUGCGAUGGUGAUUGGCAGUUGGCUAAACAGCUGGAUCCUAUCAGCUCCUCCCUCCCCUCCAGACAGACGUUCAAUCACAUGAGGCCCAUCUGCCAGCCCUUUGGGUCUGUCACUCUAGAUUAGAGAUAGGGGCAGCUGUGGCAACAUGGAGAGAGGGCAUUCUGCGGGCAGAUUUUCAAAUCUGCCCAUCCCCACCACCACCCUCUGCAGCCCCGUGGAAGAGGGUCCUCCUAUAGGAGCUCAGAGCCUAGUGAUCCUGUGAACUACCCUAACAUGUGAAUGCUAAAAAUUGGAAUUCACAUGCCUUACAUCUAAACAUGUAACAGACUGUAAAAAUAAAAUGUUUAUUCUCUUA